AUGUCUUUGUCAUGUGACCAGUGGAUCCUGAAGAAAAGAAGGGUUUGUAGAACCAAACAAAGCAGCAGAGGAAAACUGUGGAUUGCCAUUAAAACUAUUACAAUGAAUGCUAAGAACUGCGCAUGUGAACCAGGAAAAACACCCAGUGCAUGUUCCAGGCUUCAUGUAUUUUUACAAAGGAACUUAUUAAAGUGCAAAAGUAAAGAGGCUCCUGUCCAGAACAGACAUGGCAAAAAGAGGAGAGCUGAAGAUUCAACCUUCAAACCACAAAAGAAAAAUGGAAAGAUGACCAAAACAGGCACAGGCAAAAAGAAAAUGACGAAAAAUGUUCUGGAAGGGAGCAGAAUUAUUUAUAACGAGAGCACUCGGAAAGAUAGGCCCUUUGUCCUGCAGAAUAGCAAUGAAGACCAAGACCCUAAUUUUGAUACCUUACUCGAAAAGACUGUUAGCCCAGGAGCCAGUGUGAAGACUGAACAUAGCUGGACUAAGAGGCAGGACUGUUUCAGUGAAACACUGGGAAAUAAGUCAUGUAAGGUCAGUGGAAACAGUAGCAUUCUUGACUUCCCUGACCCUUCGCGUCACUUCUCCUGGUUGCAGAAAGGUGGCUUUAAGUCAAUGUUGGCCAAAAUGGAAAACAGGCAGUCCACAGUGGUCAAAGAAAGUGAUUCUUCUGCAUCAGAAGGCAUUUUUUAAGAACAUGUUUGUAAACCAUUUGUAUUGAGAGGUAAUGGUGGCUUUACGUCGUAUAUACAUGUGUUAUGUUUAUUGUGCACGCACACUAUAUAUGCAAUAUAGUAACUUGAGGCAGAACAAAAUAAUUCUAGGGCUCAUCCUAACCUGUCUUGAGAUACAUGAAUGAAUUUUAUAAGAAUACUUUAGGCAAUGUAAAGAAGUUCAGCUUAUUGAUCCGUUUAAAAACAAAGGGAACAUUUUGUGUGAAAUGCUCUUCUAUUUUGGAUUACCUAGAAUUCAGGGGCUUCAUUUAUUUUUCCCGAUUUAACAUUUUAUUUUGAGCAGAAGUGUUAAGUUUUCCUUUCUAACCAAAAAUACUUUUGAUUAAUGCAUUCUGAAGUUAAAAUAAAAAAUGGCAGGCUUCUAAAACCAGAGUUUGAUGUAUUUAUACUGAUACUUUUAUGUUUAAUUAAACUGCUCAU
rnacentral:lncRNA from 1 species